AUCCCGUUGAAGAGGAAGAGAGAAUAUUCGGCGCUCGUAUCCGGAUCAAACCAAAGAGAAACAGCAUCAAGAUUCAUCUGAACUUCGUCCUUUCACCAGCUCCUCGUCCUCCUCCUCCUUCUGCAUCCCGAAGCUUCGCUACUUCCCUGUAAGCUCUUCGCCCCUCGAUUCGUUCGUUGGACUCGAGCUGAAAACGGACGGCCAUGUCGAGUGUUUCGUCCGUUGACUCGCUGUCUGACCCGCUGGAGAAUGUCUGCGUCAGCAUAUGCUGGUCGGUGCCGGGCCAUGUUGCUCCGCUGAUGUCGCGCUUCCGCUCGCGUUCGAAUCGUGGGGCGACUAGAAUUCGUGAUCACUGGAUGAUGUCGUCAUGAAAUUACCUGCAACCAAAAGGCAGAAAUGGGAACAUUGUAGGCCCUCAAUUCAUCCCACACAUGGCGAACCAUGUCUGUGCCACCCUGCAUACCAAUUACAGCUCCAGAUAUGAUCCAUUCAGGCAGCUCAGGGGGCCUCCCAAUAGUCCCUGUGAAGUGCUCAAGGAGCUCAGUGGCAUGUGCAGGAAUUCAAGCUAACAUCAAAAGCUUUGAACUGCAUGUUUUGCUUGUCACUUCAACAAUUCUCCUUGAUAGUCCCAGCAGAGCUCAACUAUUCCCACCUUCAACAAUAUCUGCAGUGGUGAACGAGAAAGUUGCAGACAUCGGUUAUCAAGAGGUACCUGUAUCUGGACUCUGUCAUGUCUUGUUAGAUCGAAAAUGGAAUAGUUGUAUCCUUCAAGAUAAAGAGAUCUCAUCUUUGAUGUCAUGUAGAACGGUGAAGGAGCAUAAGUGGUACUCCAAUCACCCCCAGCCCUGCAAAAGAAGUGAAAUGUUCCAAUUAUAUCCAUCUGUGAUCAGUGAAUUCACGACAGAGCUUAAUGCUACCAACCUGUGGCUAACCAAAUUAGCUGCGAAAGUUAUUGGCUGAUCACCUCGUCCAAUGCCCUGUUCUUGUACGAAAAUUGGCACCCUUCGGCCUUUAAAAUUCAUGUGAGAGAACUGCUCCCCGAAACCGUAGAAUUUUUCACUUUUUUCGCUGGAAUAAGUGAGACAAAUCCUGUUAAAUUCUGUGGACUCUGGAGGCUUCACUCCGACUAUUUCGUCCUCAGCAGAGGAAACCGCAACAUAAUUUCUUGGCCUCCGAAAGGACCACCACCAUCCGAGUUUCUUCUUCCGAAGCUGGCACAGCUUCAGUCUUAAGACCUGACGCCUUCUUAGACCAGCCGGAGAAAUUGCCUGGCUGAGGUUGAAGUUGGGUUUGCCCAGCCUCACCUGAAACCCAACUUGGUGACUGCUUUUCUGACCAAAGAAAACCCAGUAUCUUGCAUAAGUGCAAUCCUUUCCUAGCGUCAUUUUCUUACUCAAGCUGGAGUCUUGAGGGCGCUUCUUUUUCAUACUAAAGAUCCUGCCAGUUAUCAUCAGGACAGGGAACUCUGUUUUCUUCACAUCAUUCUGAUCAAAUCCUACACAUCCCGAAGGGAAAUCAGGAUCGGUGGCAUGCAAGAAACUGUCCAAAUGAUCGAUCACCCUUAUGUCUUCGAUGGUUUGAUGAUCACAGACCAAACGGACUUCUCUGUCCUUGAUGACAAAUGAUCCUCUGCUUUCUUGAAUCUCUGUUUCGGCCAAAGCCCCGGAAACAAAGGCUUGUCCGGGGAUGGUGGACCAUAAGGAUUUGUCGGGCUGCAGUCGGUGAGAAACUGAGAGAAAGCCUCCAUUUCUUGACUGCCAAGUGAGCCGAAAAUCUUUCCCGAUUGGGAAGGUCUGGUGUGUCGCCAAUGUCAGGGACUCGGAGAACAGAGUCCCCUGAACGAAAGGCAGGGACUUUGGAGCGGAAGGGAAGGGGUUGUUGAGGUGCCUGUGGUGCUUUUUGGUGAUUUUGAGGCUCGACAUUCUCUAGGGAAGUCGAACAAACAAGGAAAUAGAAUCGAUGGAUUCUCGGGUGUUAUAUAUACAGGGUUGGGAAGGAAAUUUCAACCAAGAUUCGUAUUUUCAGUUGCCGGGCGAAUGGUUUUAUCUAGAAUUUGUCCCACGUUCUGUUCUUGGAUGCAGAGUGGGGACCGAAAGUGCUGACUCUGGAUGUGGAUGAGCUCUUGGGGGAAGAAUGGGAAAAGUCGCUUUUGACUCUGAUGGGCACGCCAGUAAAUGUGCCAGCUGACCUCCCCCUUUGCCACGGCGGUCUGCCCCGUAUUUAUGCGCAAUUAUGGCCCUGCCCGUUUUCAGUCUUUACCCCAGCUGGUGGAUUCUUGAUGUUAAAGAGAGAGAGAGAGAGAGAGAGAUCGUCUUUUUGGAGGAUGAAAAUGAUGAUGGAGAUGCUAAAAGGGGUUUGUGGAACGCCACUGUGGACUCCUUUUGGUGUUUGAACAGAUCAAAUUUUGCGUUGACGCGAUCAAUUCUAGCGUUGGAGAGUAAAAGUGCCUAUCUGGUGUUGCGUGAGAGGUGUAUCUUGUCCACAAGUUUAGAUUUUCUUGGCGACCCGCCCCGAUACUCCACAUGGACAUUGAAUCGGUGCCAUGUUUAAGGGCAUCGUAACAGCAAAAAAUCCUUACGUUCAUGGAGGAGAUAGCCGGGGAGGGUUCACAGGCCACCUCGUUGUUUCUGGGGAAAACCCAAGAAUUGUCUGGAAACAUCACUGUAGCAAAACAUCGUAGGACCGCGACCGGGACCGGGUCGUCUUGUGGACCGUCAAAAUGGCCUGCUGAAACGCGUUUCGCCGGAAGGUCAAACGGAGGUCCCGAACCUCUGGCGUCCGUGGGAUUAAACGAUCUUUUUCAGGUCGUCUCUUUUUGGUAUCCAGCCGUGUAAGGUGGGGUUGUCACCGAUUGGAAAGCAAACUGAAGAGGCGUUUUCCAAUUGUCCGGUCAUAUUCUAGAAAAGUCGAAUUUCUUCUCGAGUCUCCACUGAAGACAGGCACGUGAAGAACAGGAACGGGGGUCGCGUUUUUCUUCGAUGGGUUUUGUCAAAAAAAUGAUUCCGCAUUAGUCGGUCCCUUCUGACAUGCGCCGGCCGGUGAAUCUCGACGUUUUUCGAGGCAUCAUUCGCCUUCACGUGGGCAGCUGCGAAAUCGUUUUUUUUUGUUUUGGUCUGAAUCUGCUUGCAAUGCUGAAGGUGAACCUGGACA